rnacentral:misc_RNA from 1 species
AGCAGCCGCGGUAAUUCCAGCUCCAAUAGCGUAUAUUAAAGUUGUUGCAGUUAAAAGCUCGUAGUUGAAUUUCGGGAUCAAUACGUCGGUCGUGCUUCGGUACGUACUGGCGUAAUUGAUUUCUCCCUUCUGACGAACCAUGAUGUCAUUAACUUGGUGUCAUGGGAAAUCAGGACUGUUACUUUGAAAAAUUAGAGUGUUUAAAGCAGGCUCACGCUUGAAUACAUUAGCAUGGAAUAAUGAAAUAGGACGUUCGAUCCUAUUUUGUUGGUUUUAGGAUCAACGUAAUGAUUAAUAGGGAUAGUUGGGGGCAUUAGUAUUCAAUUGUCAGAGGUGAAAUUCUUGGAUUUAUUGAAGACUAACUACUGCGAAAGCAUUUGCCAAGGAUGUUUUCAUUAAUCAAGAACGAAAGUUAGGGAUCGAAGACGAUCAGAUACCGUCGUAGUCUUAACC